rnacentral:rRNA from 1 species
UACAGAGGGGGCAAGCGUUGUUCGGAAUUACUGGGCGUAAAGGGCGCGUAGGCGGCCUUCUAAGUCGAACGUGAAAUCCCCGGGCUCAACCCGGGAACUGCGUCCGAUACUGGAAGGCUUGAAUCCGGGAGAGGGAUGCGGAAUUCCAGGUGUAGCGGUGAAAUGCGUAGAUAUCAGGAGGAACACCUGUGGUGUAGACGGCUUACUGGACCAUGACUGACGCUGAGGCACGAAAGCGUGGGGAGCAAACAGG